rnacentral:lncRNA from 1 species
CCCCAGAUCAAGCUAGAUCUUUAAAUAUGUAAAAUAGUAAAAUAUAAAGUAAUGAGCUAGAUAGCCCAGUAAAUAAUAUACAUUUUAGCUAGAUAAAUUUAGUAAUAAUAAUAUACUGAGAAUAAGCAUGCAAGAUACAUCAAUCAAAAUAUACAACAUUAAUCCAAAUAAGAUCUAUAUAAAUUUAUUUUUUUUUAUAAAUCAAUUUGUUUUAAAAUAUCACGUUCAUCUCGAUGCCAUAACUAAAUCAAAGUACUAUUGCAUAACCCCCAAUGAUAGAGUAUCGAAAUACCAAUGCACAUCCUCUACUAAUAGUGUAUCGAAAUAUCAACAUACAACCUUCACUGAUAAGGUAUUGAAAUAUCAGUGCACAACCCUCA